rnacentral:rRNA from 1 species
GACGAACGCUGGCGGCGUGCUUAACACAUGCAAGUCGAACGCUGAAGCACCAGCUUGCUGGUGUGGAUGAGUGGCGAACGGGUGAGUAAUACGUGAGUAACCUGCCCUUGACUCUGGGAUAAGCCCGGGAAACUGGGUCUAAUACUGGAUGCUACAUGUCACCGCAUGGUGGUGUGUGGAAAGGGUUUACUGGUCUUGGAUGGGCUCACGGCCUAUCAGCUUGUUGGUGAGGUAAUGGCUCACCAAGGCGACGACGGGUAGCCGGCCUGAGAGGGUGACCGGCCACACCGGGACUGAGACACGGCCCAGACUCCUACGGGAGGCAGCAGUGGGGAAUAUUGCACAAUGGGCGAAAGCCUGAUGCAGCGACGCCGCGUGAGGGAUGACGGCCUUCGGGUUGUAAACCUCUUUCAGCAGGGAAGAAGCCACAAGUGACGGUACCUGCAGAAGAAGCGCCGGCUAACUACGUG